ACCAGACUCCUACGGGAGGCAGCAGUAGGGAAUAUUGCACAAUGGGGGAAACCCUGAUGCAGCGACGCCGCGUGAGCGAUGAAGUAUUUCGGUAUGUAAAGCUCUGUCAGCAGGGAAGAAAAUGACGGUACCUGACUAAGAAUCCCCUGCUAACAACUUGCCAGCAGCCGCGGUAAUACGUAGGGGGCAAGCGUUAUCCGGAUUUACUGGGUGUAAAGGGAGCGUAGACGGUGAUGCAAGUCUGAAGUGAAAGGCGGGGGCCCAACCGGAGGACUGCUUUGGAAACUGUAGGGCUGGAGUGCAGGAGAGGUAAGUGGAACUCCUUGUGUAGCGGUGAAAUGCGUAGAUAUAAGGAGGAACACCAGUGGCGAAGGCGGCUUACUGGACUGUAACUGACGUUGAGGCUCGAAAGCAUGGGGAGCAAACAGGAUUAGAUACCCUAGUA
rnacentral:rRNA from 1 species